rnacentral:rRNA from 1 species
AGAGUUUGAUUCUGGCUCAGGAUGAACGCUGGCGGCAUGCCUAACACAUGCAAGUUGAACGAAGAUUUUAGAGCUUGCUUUAAAAAGACUGAGUAGCGGACGGGUGAGUAAUGCUCAAGAAUCUGCCCCUAGGAAAAGGACACUAACCCGAAAGGGUCUCGAAUACUUUAUAAGCUGAGAAGUUAAAUGGAUUAAUCUCCGCCUAGGGAUGAGCUUGAGUCUGAUUAGCUUGUUGGUGGGGUAAAGGCUUACCAAGGCGACAAUCAGUAGUUGGUCUGAGAGGAUGACCAGCCACAUUGGGACUGAGACACGGCCCAGACUUCUACGGAAGGCAGCAGUGAGGAAUUUUCCGCAAUGGGCGAAAGCCUGACGGAGCAAUGCCGCGUGAAGGAUGACGGCCUGCGGGUUGUAAACUUCUUUUCUUAGAGAAGAAACUGACGGUAUCUAAGGAAUAAGCAUCGGCUAACCCCGUGCCAGCAGCCGCGGUAAUACGGGGGAUGCAAGCGUUAUCCGGAAUGAUUGGGCGUAAAGCGUCUGCAGGUGGUUUAAAAAGUCUAGUGUCAAAGCCCAAGGCUUAACCUUGGAUCGGCAAUGGAAACUUUUAGACUAGAGUGCGGUUGAGGUAGAUGGAAUUACCGGUGUAACGGUGAAAUGUGCAGAUAUCGGUAAGAACACCAACGGCGAAAGCAAUCUACUGGGCCAAAACUGACACUGAGAGACGAAAGCUAGGGGAGCGAAUAGGAUUAGAUACCCUAGUAGUCCUAGCUGUAAACGAUGGAAACUAAGUAUUGAGCGUAAGAGCAGUACUGUAGCUAACGCGUUAAGUUUCCCGCCUGGGAAGUAUGCUCGCAAGAGUGAAACUCAAAGAAAUUGACGGGGGCCCGCACAAGCGGUGGAGCAUGUGGUUUAAUUCGAUGCAACGCGAAGAACCUUACCGGGGAUUGACAUUUUGCGCAUUUCUUGGAAACGAGAAAGUCCAAACGCAUAAACAGGUGGUGCAUGGCUGUCGUCAGCUCGUGUCGUGAGACGUAAGGUUAAGUCCUGUAACGAGCGCAACCCUUAUUGUUAGUUGCUUGAAAAAGGAAACUAGUGAGACUGCCAGUUAUAAGCUGGAGGAAGGUGAGGAUGACGUCAAGUCAGCAUGCCCCUUAAAUCCCGGGCUACACACGUGCUACAAUGGUUGGGACAAAAAGAAGCUAACUCGUGAGAGCACGCAAACCUUAAAAACCCAAUCUCAGUUCGGAUUGGAGGCUGCAACUCGCCUCCAUGAAGCCGGAAUCGCUAGUAAUCGCAGGUCAGCCAUACUGCGGUGAAUACGUUCCCGGGCCUUGUACACACCGCCCGUCACACCAUGGAAGUUGGCCACGCCCGAAGCCGUUACUCCAACCCUUGUGGAGGAGGACGUCGAAGGUGGGGCUGAUGACUGGGGUGAAGUCGUAACAAGGUAGCCGUCCCUAUAGUGAGUCGU